AUGUGGGAUCAAAGGGCGAUAAAGACAUUAUACAUGAGGGUGAGGACAAAAUGGUACAGGAAUACUGUUUUCACCAGAGGAAUUAAUGAGUUCAGUGCCAGCUGGCCGAUGUUUACAACUAGGUGUUACUGGCAAGUCAGAUGGGGGAUGUUGGACAUAUUGGCUUUUGAAGAUGGACUAGGUCCUGUUAGGACUAAGUGGCUGGAUGUUGUAGGUAAGACUGGCUGUGAUUCAGAUGUAAACAUAGUGGAAUAA